GUUCCAUAACGAGUGAGAGGGAGGUUAUUAAAUGCUGGGCCUUAUAUACUCAGAGACUCCGUCAGAGUUGUCAAAAAGUUUCAUACUGGAUUUAUUUCUUGGGUCCAGAGGCAGGAAUAGCAGUAGAAGCAAACUAGAAGGGACAUGUGAAUGAAAUUAAGGGUCUAGUCCCUCCACCCUUGUGGUCCUUUCUCCAUUGCUUCGUUGCUCUGCAUGGCUCUCUGCCAGGUCUGUAUUACUGAAUUUCCACUGGGAUUCUUUUUGGCUUUUUGCAUGCUGACAAACUCUUUGUAUGUAUAAUACUAUGCCUAAUGCCUCUCGUUUUGGAAGCUUUUGGGACUGUGAAAGGUGGUCUCUGUCACCAUGCAUGUUGCUUGGAUUGGGUGCUUAAGUGGGCAACUAGUGGAGCCCUUGGUGGUUUUAUGGAGUCCUUGGAAUGAAAUAAAACUUAUAACUCAACAUUCAACAUUCAGACAAUUUUUACAGAGCAAACGGUGCUAGCUUCUACAUGGGCGGUGCUCUGUGCUCAAAAAACAUUGAUUUUGUUUAGCGUGUGAAAGCCUUGCUCCUCGGCCAAUGAUCUUCAGGUCUAUUAGUACACGAGUCGCCGAUAAAACUCUCACCACUCUCACCGAGUGGUGAGAGUUCGAUUCUCGGCUGAGGGCACAUUUUUUUGAAUUGUGAAUAGUAAUUGUGUACGGAUGGUUUCUGCGCCUAUGUGAGUGCGGCCUCGUCCCCGCUUGUUCCACUGAGUCUUGUGCAUGUCUCUGGGGUCUCUAGUGGGUUCGCCCCGCUCUCUUUCUCCAAAAAGCCUUGCUCCUCGUUGUGUUGCUCAAGAGCUUGGAACUUCUAUGAUGGCAAUUUUAUGAUCAGAUAUUGGGACUACUGGCUUAAUAUGCUACCUCCAAAGAUCACUGUAUCAUUUGAUCGAUAUGAAUGUUUUUGAGAGAACAUUGAAGAGUAUGCUUUUGGAACGUUAAUGUACAGACAUGAUGUAGUAAUAAAUAUUAUCAAAGUUUUAAUCA